rnacentral:lncRNA from 1 species
AAACUUUUUCCAGAACCUUCUCCAUCUGUUACCUUUGGGGAACGUGCAUCUUUGUCAGCCAUCAUACCAACACUCAAAGAACGAACUAAUUAUAAUCGUCAAAAUUGCAAAGCGUUUUUGGAACGAAUUGUGAAGAAUAAGGACAGCAAAAGCACAUAUUUAUAUUAGGAUAGGUAGUUAGGGAUUUUGCGUAGUGAUGAAAGUUUUGUUGCGCAAACACAUGCAGUAAAUACAGUAUUUAUUUCUCCGAUUCAGAUGCACCAAAUACGUUGACCAAUAACCUAUUGCCCUUGCGCGAUGAAACCUUUGUCGCGCAAGAGUUUGUACAGCAACAUAUUUGUCACGCAAAGGUUUUUGUGACGAACAUAUUGUAAUUAUAAAAUUUACGUAAACAUAGAUAUCUAUGUUUACGUAAACUUAUAAUUACCAACAAAUUU